rnacentral:sRNA from 1 species
AGUCUGUGGAUGAGACCAGUGGAGAAGGUCCAGAAGUGGAAAUGGAGUCCUGGCAGAAGCGAUACGAUUCGCUCCAAAAGAUUGUGGAGAAGCAGCAGCAGAAGAUGGAUCAGUUGCGCUCACAAGUACAGGUGAGCAGGAAUCCUUGGGACAUGGUGGGCAGAACUUAAUGAUGGAAUCUCUAGAAUUUAGCCAAUAUUUAUUUCGUUCUCUGCCAUGCAGGUUGCCCAGUGUUAGGGAUACAAAAAGAAUGAGACCCAGUCAGUGCUUUUGAGCCUUGCUGAGAGGACACAAAUAUAGUAGGGAGUUUCAGCACAGUACUGUGAGAGCAGUCCCCACAGUAUCCUGGGGGAGUGCAGGAGAGUCAGUGGGAGGAAGGGAGGUAAAAGAGAGGUUUCUGGAGAUCCUGAACCUAGAAGGAUGAGGAGUUAGCCAGGCAAAGAAGAGGAGCUG